rnacentral:rRNA from 1 species
AGUGAACGCUGGCGGUAGGCCUAACACAUGCAAGUCGAACGGCAGCACAGUAAGAGCUUGCUCUUACGGGUGGCGAGUGGCGGACGGGUGAGGAAUACAUCGGAAUCUACUUUUUCGUGGGGGAUAACGUAGGGAAACUUACGCUAAUACCGCAUACGACCUACGGGUGAAAGCAGGGGAUCUUCGGACCUUGCGCGAUUGAAUGAGCCGAUGCCGGAUUAGCUAGUUGGCGGGGUAAAGGCCCACCAAGGCGACGAUCCGUAGCUGGUCUGAGAGGAUGAUCAGCCACACUGGAACUGAGACACGGUCCAGACUCCUACGGGAGGCAGCAGUGGGGAAUAUUGGACAAUGGGCGCAAGCCUGAUCCAGCCAUACCGCGUGGGUGGAGAAGGCCUUCGGGUUGUAAAGCCCUUUUGUUGGGAAAGAAAAGCAGCAGGUUAAUACCCCGCUGUUCUGACGGUACCCAAAGAAUAAGCACCGGCUAACUUCGUG